GAUGAACGCUGGCGGCGUGCCUAAUACAUGCAAGUCGAGCGGAAACAGGGAGAGCUUGCUCUCCGCUGUCGAGCGGCGGACGGCUGAGUAACACGUAGGAACAUACCCCAAAGUGAGGGAUAACUGCUCGAAAGAGUAGCUAAUACCGCAUGUGGUCUAAGGAUUAAAGCUUCGGCGCUUUGGGAAUGGCCUGCGUUCGAUUAGCUAGAUGGUGAGGUAAAGGCUUACCAUGGCGACGAUCGAUAGCUGGUCUGAGAGGAUGAUCAGCCAGACUGGGACUGAGACACGGCCCAGACUCCUACGGGAGGCAGCAGUAGGGAAUAUUGGACAAUGGGCGGAAGCCUGAUCCAGCCAUGCCGCGUGUGUGAAGAAGGCCUUUUGGUUGUAAAGCACUUUAAGCGAGGAGGAGACUACCUGGAUUAAUACUCUGGGAUAGUGGACGUUACUCGCAGAAUAAGCACCGGCUAACUCUGUGCCAGCCGCCGCAGUAA
rnacentral:rRNA from 1 species